UAUCUUUUACAGAGCAACAUUUUCAUUUUGAUGAAGUCCAUUUUCUUGAUUUUUCCUUCUCUGAAUCAUGCUUUUGGUAUUAAGCCUGUGGACUUAGGUCCUUAAGAAUACCCAUUUUUUUCUGAGUGUUUUAUAGUCUUAUGUUGCACAGGGAAGUUCAUGAUUCAUGCUGAGUUAAUUUUUAGGGCCUAAGUCAAAUUUCAUUUUUAUCUUGCUUUGUGGAUAUCCAGUUGUUCCAGGACCAUUUACUGAAAAGGUCACUUGCUGCAGUUUUGUCAGAAUCAGUUGACUGCAUUCAUGUGGGUUUUCCAGCUGGUUCCAUGGAUGUGUCUCUUCAUUCUCCACUACUCCAGCUGUGUGAGGUCUUGAAAUCAUAUAGACUGAUUCCUCCCUCUGAUCCUUUUUCAAAAUUGUUUUUGCUACAUAGCGUGCUAUCCUGCUGCACCUGCUAUCCCAGCUGCGCCAAUUGAGGUGCAGCAGCGGCAGGGUAUUCAAGCUGCGAGUUCAAGCCGCAGCACUAUCGCAGCACGGGACAGUACUUUUUAAUUGGCUUCUCUCAGCUUAGUUUGUUCCUGGGUUGGCAGGGUGUAUCUCCCUCUGUUUGGGACUCCCCAUGCUGUAUUAUUUUUGGAAUCCAAGUUGACUCUCUCAGAGAGCUUCUGUAGCUGCUGUUAUCUAUCCGCCAUCUUUUUCUCAAUCCCAGUAUACUGACUUUUGAACCAUUACAGAAUGCCCCCCUCUCUCUAGGAGCUUCCUUUCCUCUGAAAUCUGCUUUUUAAAAAAUAUUAGUAUAGCUACUUUCCUUUAUUUUAAUUGUUGCAUGACAGAUCUUCCAUCCUUUUGUUUCAACCUAUCACAUUCAAAAUGAGUAUUUUUGUUGCUGUGUAUUGGGUAAUAUUUUAAAAUUGGUUCUGCCAAUCCCUGUCUUGUCUUUUCUUCUUUUUUCAGUCUUCUUUUCUUUUCUUUUUGUUUUGUUUUGUGGUGCUUAGGACCUUGUGCUUGUCAUCCAGGCACUUAUGCCACUAUAUUCCUGGAUCCAUGUCUUGUUUUCUUUAGAUCACUUACAUUUAACAUAAAUUAUUGUUAUUUUAGGGUUUAAGCCUGCUUUUUAAAAAUUUUGCUUGCUUGUUUCCUUUUGCCUCCUGUUUUUAUUUGAUUCUCUUUCUUUUCUUCUCCCUUUCUGUGGGUAAUAUGAACAUUUCUUAUACUUCUGUUCUGAUUUAUCUGUAAUUUGUUUGGUUGUUUUUUGAUAUUGGUUUUUGAGAAGGAUUUCACUACAUAGUUCAGAGCAAUCUUGAACUCACUGGGUAGUCCAGACUGAUCUUGCAUUGCCAAUCCUGCCCCAGCCUCCUGAGGGCUCAAAUUACAGGACUGUGCCAUUGCGCGUGACUUUAUAUUUUUUGAAUGUAACUCUUAAUUUUUUUUUUUUUUUGUCUUUUUCCUUUUUAUCGGUACCAGGGAUUGAACUCAUGACUACCUGCUUGCAAGGCAGGCUCUUUAUGCCGCUGUGCUAAAUCCCCAGCCCCGAAUGUAUCUCUUUGAACAGCUUUCUUUUUUGUGUUUUUGAGAUAGGGUUUCACUCUGCAGUUUAGGCUGGCCUUGAAUUCACUUUGUAGUCCAGGCUGAUUUUGAAUUUGCAGUGAUCCUCCUGCCACAGCCUCCAAGUGCUGGAAUUACAGGUGUGUGUCACCAUGCCAGGCUUUGAGUAGCUUUUGAGAUAUUGCUUUACAUUAUGUAUUACUAUUUAAUAUUUAUGAUGUUAUAAUCUAGUGAUUAUAUUGCAAUGGCAAGCAGUAACACUGAAAUGACACCAAGGAUUUGGAGGCAGAUUUAUUUAUGUUGACAGGCACUGAUUGGGAUCAUUCCCAGAAUAUCAGGUCCUAAUCUUUGGUGGUCUAGGGCUUAUAUGGGAUAAUCAAGGAGGAAGUACAGAGGCAGGCAGAAUGGCUUGUCAAUUGGGGAUUGAUUCUUACAAUAUGCAUCAUAGUGACUAUGCAUCACAGUAAUCAGUCAUUUCUAGGAGACAAAAGCAACUGGAUCUGCAACAGGCACUGAUACCUGGGCAACUAAGAAACUGAAAUAUAUUAGCUGGUGGUGGGGGUGAAGAGGGCAUUUUCUAUUAAUUUCCCCCUUCUUUUAGUUUCUCUGGAAAAUCUUUGCUGGACACAUCACAUGUGAUCUUUUGAGACAAGGCUCAAUGGGAAGCAGUAAUGUUAGUGUUGUAAAUGAUCUUAGGAUGGGCCCUAGCAAAGGUUGCUGUGGUUGUCUUAUUAUAGAGUUUUUCUCUAAAUUGCUUUUAGGAAGGGACAUAAUUUAGGCCUGUCUAUUCUGUAACAUUACUCUGGCAAGGUAGUGAAAGAGUUAAUCUGAUAUAGGAGAGUAUCCAAUGUGCCUUGGAUGCUCAUCAAAUCUUGGCCAAGUGUUUGAUUGAUUUUUCUAUUCUCUUGGGGCAAUUAUCUAUAAAGUUUAAGGCAAAAUCACAGCUAACAACAGAACAGGGAAGCAAGGACAGGUAAACAGCUUGAAAAGAUACAAAAAUCAAAGGAAUGAGUAUGGAGCAAUCCUGUGAACUGUGUCCUCAGGCUCCAGCCAUGCAUGGGCUGGUCAGCAUCCAGAGUGACCAGAGCCAGGCUUUGAAUGUAGUGUCUAUCCAGAGUCAGUUGUCUGGUCCAGGUAAAUUUUCAGUGGAUCUAAGGCUGAAUUUCUAAGAUUUGUAGGGGUAGUUAAUAUGCUUCUGGGUUAUAUGUGUGUGAGUUACAAGCUGUUUUCAUCUAUAUAUUUUUAAAUGGGGAGAGUCCACUAUAAUACAUGGGGUUAGGGCUGGUGACACAGAUGCUGAAGUCUUAUCUGGCUGCAGGGAUCUGGAUAUCAAUGCUGUAGUUUGAGCUUGUAGAACAAAUAGUGGGUACAGGUAUGGUUCUGAUCUUCUGGGAAUACUGGGUAAAGUUUUACUGGUUCAGUCAAUUGGAUCCUUGGAGGAGACUUAGGUCUCUUGAUGAGAUCAUUUUGUAUUGUUGGUGGCAGGUUUCCAAACAGCAGCAAGAAGUAGCUUGAUUUGCAGAUCAUCUCUGCAAGAGAGUUUUGGAUAAAAUAGUCUUUUCCAAGGUGACCACAGCAUAUACAAUCUGUCAGACUUUAUUCCUAACAGAGCUGCUUCCAUCUGUAAACAGGGUAUACUGAGCAUCUGUCAGGGGGUCCAUUUUUAAGAACAAUUCAUCCCAGUGAGCUUGUCAGCUUUCUGAUCAGAAGCACAGUGAUUAUUAGAGCCUGGAGGCAAAAUGAGGAGGCAGCCUUUAGUGACUGAAUCACCAGUAGGCUACUGGGAACUCCCAGGGGUUGACAGUCUGAAUGAGUAUCAUUGCUUGUAUGAACUCAAGGAUUCAGAUUUUGUAGAAGCCAGCAGCUCCAAGAAAUUUGUGGAGAUUUUUUCUUGUUACUAGUUUCUGUCAGAUAUUGUAGAAGAGUUUUUGUGCCUUUCCAGCAGGUUAUCUAGGGUGUCAUUAAUCAGAAGUGCAGUGAAGAGGAAAUGAACUUUGAACUUUUGGGAGGUUGAGUCCUGGUAAGUUAAUUUUUGAGUCCAGAACUGGACUAUUUGUGAAAAGGGACUGGACAACAGGACCAAAGGCAGAAGAGGCAUUCUUUCAGCCUAGGCAGGUGCACCAGCAGGCUGUGGGUGACAAAGACUGAGGCAAUGUAUAUGGAGGGCAAGUACAGUGGCAUUGGUGGCUUGGAGAUCUUGAAUUGGCUUUACAGGCAGGAGAGUUGUAUUUCAGCAGUUUGACAAUCAAUUAACAUUUUGCAGUUUUGAAACCUCUGAAUGUGUGGUUGAAUUUCUAGUCAAAUCUCUUGUGACAUGGAAAACCACAAGAUGGGAUUUGAUGCAGUUGGGGGUUGUCCUGGGAUGGAAUUUUACAAUCAGAGGCAGGUGGUCAGUGGCAAAAUGUCAGAGCACAAAGGACAGUGACAGAAUUGUGAAACUGAAAGGACAGAGAAACAAGCUGUCUCAGAGCAGCCAAACAUAUUAUCAGAGACUCCCUGAAAAUAGUAGGAGAGUUUCCAAAUCCUUGUUGCUGUUGUUGAUGGUGUAAAGGUCUUGCCCAAUGUGAUUAAUAGACUAUCAGGCUGGUGUAUGUUUGGAUGCCUGUUUAUGCUUCCCACAAUAUCUGACACCAGGGUCAUGGUGAGGUAAGCCAGGCCCAAAGGUGAGUCUUUAUUUAUACCUCUGGGAGGAGAGUUUUUAGAACUCUAUGAUUGCAGUUAUCUCUCUCAGGCAUUGUCUUCCUCUCAGGGAAUAGUCAGAGUUGAAAGUGCAGGGUUAAAUGAGAGGGAGAUUGACUGACUUGGUGCAAAGGAGAUGGUCACUUCAACUUGAAGGACAGGUCUCUUCCAAGAAUCAGUAUGAGGACUGGCUUACACAGGAAUUUAUAUUUGGUAUAUUUGGUGAAUUUGUAUCUUGCAGAAGGGGUGAGAGGCAAGAGUCCCAGUUGUCCAAAUGAUGGUACUAUAGGCUCCUGGUGGCCCAGCUGAAGAAGGGAGCCCAGUCCAGCCUAGUGAGUUGUCAGACCAAUGAAAGAGUUGUCAUCUGAUCCAGGCUGAAGGUUUUGAGAGUUAUUUUUAUUUAUUUUUUAGUGUCCAUUACCCUUAAAACUCAUAGCCAGAAGGUAUGGUUGUCUAUCAGAUUGGAUUUUCUUAUAGACAUCAGCUGUCUUUUUUUUUUAAAUCAAGUUUCUAGGUAACAGUAGUUAAUGGGUUUCUUGCCCCCCCCCCUUUUGAUGUCUUUUAGAAGCCCUUGUCUGGGUUGUUUCUAGACAAGGUGAUUUUUGAAAAGGCCAUGAAAACUCAUUCAUCAGGGCUGAAAGUCCAAUUUUCCUCAUCAAAAUGUGGAACUCAAAGGAAUUGCUGACAGUGGGUGCUAGAUGAUGCCAUCUGAUCAGGAUAGGCAUGUAAGCAGGAGGCUCUGGAGGGAGGGCCCCUGUGGCUGAAUGCAGGCAAUGGCUCACUGGUCCCAGUUCAACUGACCAGAACUAAACUAGUUGGGAGAAGGAGUAAAGCUAUAGAUAUUGGUAGCAACUGUGGUGGCUGACAAGGUGCCAAGGUGGAAUUCUCAGGAAGAAUGGGCCUUUGUUUUUUCUUUUUCUUUGAGACACAAGGAGUGGUUUGGUUUCAUUUUUAAUUCCAUAAAAUCCCUUUUUCUUGCAGUCAAGGACUAUGAGUUUUGAUUAAUUCCCAUCUCUGAUUAUGUAUUGUGUGUACAACAGAAAAAGGGUGGAUGCCCCUCAGAAAGAGACCAUUCAGAUGCCCACCUUGGUUUAUGGGUAUUUAUGCAUGAUUUAGCUAAAGAGAGUGUGAGGCCUCUGUUAUGCCAUAUGUCAACUGUCACAGAUUUACAGGCAAGGGCCCAAUUAACACCACAACCAGUGCUUUCCAGUCUUGAUGCACAGACAGAACAGCCUAUUGUUCACACUGUUCAUUUCAUUCACUCAUGCACUCAUUCACCAGGCACUCAGAGUUUAAACAUUCCAAGCCCUCUUCCCUUGAGAGUGGCCUUAACUAACAAGAGUUGAUCAAGCUCUUCUGCUCAAAGUGAGCAGAACUGACAGACUGACCAAUUGCAGUGGUCUCAGGGUCUUACCAGAAUCAGGCAGGCAGGCAGACAGACAGACAGACAGAGUUUGCAUCCUCUUCCCUUUGGGGUCUGAUGUGAGUUGCUCAGGGAGUUAGAAAUUCUCAACUAGACUCUAAGGGGACUGAAGAAAUCUCAAGGGUAUAUCUUUCCAUCAAUACCUUGCUCUAUCUAUGAGGGCCAUGCCUGGUGACCAGAAAGGUCAGCAUGGUUAGUUUUCCAGGCCAGUGCUCCAGAUUCAACAGCAAGCAGAAACACCAAAACAACACCCAAGAUUUGGAGACAGAUUUAUUUAUGAUAAUGGGCACUGAUUUAAAUCAUUCCUAGAAUUUCAGGCCCUGGUUGCUGGUGGUCUAGGUCUUAUAAGGGAGAAGCAAACAGGAAGUACAGAGGUAGAAUGGCUUGUCAGUUGGGGAUUGGUUUACACUGUGUGUACCACAGUGACCAGAUAUGCAUUAGUCAGAGACAGAAGCAACUAGAAUGGCAACAGAAAUUGUGAGUAACUAAGAAACGGAAGUAUACUGGCUGUGGAGGGGGGGAUUUCUGUUACAAUAUCACCUUACAGAAGCCUCACUUCUCUUUACAUUCUCACACUUACAAUUGCCUUGAAUGUUUCCUUCACAGACAUUUAGAAUUCUAGCAGAGUUAUAAUUUGUCCUCUCACAGUCAAGAAUAAUUCAGAAAAUCAACUAUAUUUAACUGUGUUUUGCUUGCUAUAUCUUGUCUUAUGAUCCUUCUUUUAUCAUUCCUAUUUGUUUAGAAAAAUUCCUUGAUCAUUCUUAUAGAGUAGACUUUAGUUUUACUUCAUCUAAACAUUUCUUGAUUUCUUUCUGUUUUCACUGGGUAUAGAAGUUUAAUUUGACGGUUCUUUUCUUUCAGUAAUUGACAGUACUGUGCCACUUCUUCUGGUUGCCAAGGGUUCUGAUGAUAAACUGUCAUUCAGUUGUUUUUCAGCAAAAAUGUUGUUGUUCUUUGAGUCUUUUCAAGUUUUUUUUUUUAAUGUUUUUAGGGUCAGAGAUAUAGGUCAGCAGUGCAGUGCCUGCCUGGCAAACAUGAGGUGCUGAGUCUCAGUCCUGGAAUACCCCCAAAAUUUUCAGAAAUUAAAUUUGAGUGUGUCUCAGCAUGGAUUUCUUUAAGUGUAUCCUAUUAGUGGUUUGCUCAGUUUUUUGAUUGUAGGCUUAUGCCUCUUGCCAAAUUUGUAAAUUUUCAGCCAUCAUUUAUUUGUGUUCAUUCUGAGUCCUGUAGUUCACCUCUUUUUCUGAAGCUUUGAUAACAUGAAUAAAAUAUCUUAUUUUGUAGGCCCAUAGGUGUCUAAGACCCUGUUCAUUUUAUUUUUAGUAUAUAUUCUUUCUAAUCUUUAGGUUGGGUAAUUUCUAUUGUUUAAAAAAUUUUCUUUCAGUUCACUGGCUAUUCCUGCUAUUCUACCAGUUAUGCCAUUGUGCUUAAACACUGAUAUUUUUAAAACUUUUUACUGUUUUUCAGUCUAAAAUUUUUAAAAUUGGUACUGGGUGUAGUGGUGCAUGUCUGUAAUCCCAGCACUAGAGAGGCUGACACUGGAGGAGCACUUAGUGUUCAAGGCCAGCCUGCACUAAACAGUGAGACCGUGUCUUAAUUUUUUUCCCAUUUGGUUCAUUUUAACAUUUCUCUGAAAAAAGUUUUUUUUUCAUUUGUUUUAAGUGUUUUUGUUGAAGCAUUUUUACUAUGCUUUAAAAUUUUUUGUUAGAAAAUUCUAAUGUCACUAUCACCUCAACAUUUGAAACUACUAAUUAUCUUUUUAGUGUUAUUUUGAGCUCUUCUUGGCCCUUAGUAAGAUGAUUUACUUCUGACUAAAAUGGGCAUUUUUAUAUUAUGAGGCUCUAGAUUUGUAGUCGGGGUUGUGCAGAGAACAAUUAGAAUCACAACAUGGAGUUUACAAUAUUAUCUUAUGAUGGUCACCUAGAGUUAACACAAGAAAGUGCAGGAAAUCUAUGUGCAACAUCAAAGACAUAGAAUAUUUAGUCAAGAGCCUAAAUCCCACAGCAAAUGUUCCACAUAAGUCCAGAUGAAAACCCAGAGCUCAUGACAAUGCCUCUCAUGAGUCCAACUGGAGGUCUAGGCCCACAAGAAGGAGUCAUGCCAGUCUCUUUUAUGGGUACGUGCUGGGAAGGCCCAAGGUCAUUGGUAAAAGCCAUAAGAUCUAUGCCAGCAGGGUGAAGGAGCUGUGCUGGUAGUUUGAAGUUUCUACACUGGAGCCAAGAAGUCACAUUCACAACAAAGACUAGGGCUGUCCUAAAAAGCACCACAGCCAUCCUCAGCAACACAGAGGCCCCGAGCUCCUCCAACGACAAGCACAGUAGAGUACAUGCCAGGAAGCCAGCUUAAUGAGUUCAUCCUGGAGACCAAGCAGCACACAUCUUCCCCUCCAGUGCCAGGAAGCAAUGCUUGAUGUGAGGAUCACAACUUCUCCAGGAGAACCAACGGCUCACAACAGCAACACAUAGGAGAACCCACAAUGCCUCAACACACCUCUCUUCUCCUUUCUCCACGUGUCUAUGCUGGCAACUUUCCUCAGAUCCGUGCUGGGAAGACCCAAGGGUCAGCGGUGGAAGCCAGAAAGUCUAUGCCAGCAGGAUGAAGGAGCUGUGCUAGUGGGAUGAGGGUUCUAUGCUGGAGCCGAGAAGUCACACUCACAACAAAGACCAGGGCUAUCCUAAAGGCACCACAGCUGUCCUCAGCGACACAGAGGCCCCGAGCUCCUCCGACGACAAGCACAGUCAGGCUAUCUUCUUUCAUGCUGAUGAAGCAGAAAACUUCACUGAGUGUUUCUGCAUGUUUUAAAGUAACCAGAAACCGGCACACAGACGACUCCGUGCUGCAGAUCAGCGGCUCACACUCCUUGCUGAGGAGCAUUGUCAAGACCUUUAGCAGGCAUAAUCUUUGAAUUUUCCUUGGCAAGAAGCUCACAAAUUGAUUAAAACUUGCAAAAAUUUAUAAUUUCACUGCCAAGUAUGCAAACUAAUGGGCCAAAUCUUGUAACUUUUUGGACAAUUUUUUAAAUGCUUUCUUUUUGAUUUCAUUAAAAUCUUCAGAAAUUUAA